AAGAGUACGUGAAACUGUUCAGAGGCAAACGGAUGGGACCGCAACCUCCCCUGUGGAAUUCAACCUCCGGGCUGUUCGUCCCGUCGGUUUCCGGAUCGCAAGACCGGGGCCGGCGUGGAGCGGGCGUUCGGGGGCGCAUUUUUCGCGGGGGGACGUCGCGACCGGUUUGCUGCCAGUCAGAAGCCCGUCGGGAAGGUAACCCAGCUUCGGCAGGGUGUUAUAGCCCGGCGGCGUGUUGGCCUGGCGGUGGACCGAGGGACGCCCGCCGCGGCGGGGAACCCCGCCCCGUACGCCCGUUCGACUGGGAGGGACUGUUCUCAGUGCCUCCCGACCGCGGGUGGACGAGGGUCGGGGCCAACCCCCGUCGCUUUCAGGGUCAGCGGCUGUUCGGUCGGCUCCCUAUCCGACCCGUCUUGAAACACGGACCAAGGAGUCUAACAUGUGCGCGAGUCAUGGGACUCGACGAAAUCUAAAGGCGUAAUGAAGGUGAAGGCCCUCCUCUCGGUGGGCCUAGGUCGGAUCCCUCUCCUCGGAGGGGGCGCAAGACUGGCCCGUCUCGUAGGCAUUGUCCUAGAGGCGGAGCAAGAGCGUACACGUUGGGACCCGAAAGAUGGUGAACUAUGCCUGAGUAGGACGAAGCCAGAGGAAACUCUGGUGGAGGUCCGUAGCGAUUCUGACGUGCAAAUCGAUCGUCAAACCUGGGUAUAGGGGCGAAAGACUAAUCGAACCAUCUAGUAGCUGGUUCCCU
rnacentral:rRNA from 1 species